rnacentral:rRNA from 1 species
AUACGGAGGGUGCAAGCGUUAAUCGGAAUAACUGGGCGUAAAGCGCACGCAGGCGGUUGGAUAAGCGAGAUGUGAAAGCCCCGGGCUCAACCUGGGAACUGCAUUGGAUACUGGCAGACUUGAAUACGGGAGAGGGCAGUGGAAUUCCUGGUGUAGGAGUGAAAUCCGUAGAUAUUAGGAGGAACACCGGUGGCGAAGGCGGCUCUCUGGACCGAUAUUGACGCUGAGACGCGAAAGCGUGGGUAGC